GGUAGUUCCCUAGUUGGUGUAAAGCUGUGCAGCUGAUAAUUACAACUGCUUCUGCCUCCCCUGGAGGAAAGGAACUGCUUCCAGCUGUAAAUCAGGGCCUAACAUCAGGACUGGUCAAGUGCCUGACCCGGAUUGCUGUCUGGAACUGAAGGAAGCUGUGCCCAGGUUUCACCAUGAUGGGCAGCUCACCAGGUUUCCAUGAGUGGAUCUCUCAGAAGCAUUCAAGGCCCAUAAUGGGAAGAAGUGCCACAGGAAGACCUUGUUAUUCAGGCUGUGAUGGGGAGUUUGAGAAGCAUCCAGUAAAUAAGACAUGAUGCAGCACCUUGUCCAGUGAGGAGAGUGCAAAAUAGAGCAGCUGCUAAUGCUGGCAUCAUUUUGUUCUGUCCAUGUGAUGAAGCUGGGACCCAGCAGAAAAGAUGGGAUAGAGGCCUGUGGGUGAGAAUGUUGUCACACAAGGGCUGUGGAGAAAGAAUACUCCUGUAAAAGGGUAUUUCACUCCUCUUUAUUUUCUGAGUCUAUAGUCUUUGAUCCUGUUUGAACAAGAUUAACCCUUGUUUUACUGCACUUUUAACAGGUGUAUGCAUGUGCAGAUGUUUGUGAGAGCACACACUUGUGCACAAGGGUUUUCACAAGUUGGGGGGGUAAAAGCAAAUUGCACAAGGAGAGAUUUUAUCUUCUAGCUCUCUGCUGGCAUCCAAAUGAGUCACCAGGAGGAGUGUAAUAUUCUGGCCUAUCCCCACAGUGCCCUGCUGCUUGAGCCAGCUGACACCAGUAAAAGAAUUCUCUGGUUAA